rnacentral:lncRNA from 1 species
AUCCUGUGAUAAAACAUUAUGGAAAAUAGUAAGAAAAGGAGUGCAUAACUGAGUCACUUUUUUAUACAGCAGAAAUCAAUACAAUGUUAUAAGUCAACAAUACUUCAAUAAUUUUUUUCAUAAAAAGACAGAAGCCAGGUCUCCCAGCAGACAUAUGUGUCCCCUAAGUCAUUUAACUUCUUGGAGAUGUAGUUCUUCAUUUGUAAAAUGCAGGCACUGAUACACCUUCAACUGUGAACCAAACCUAACAUAUACAUGAGGAGUUUCACUCUUGUCCGAGUGAUAGUGGAAGACAAUUUCCCUGUUUGAACAAAGGUGUUAGAAGGCAUAUGAUAUUUAAGUACUAAAAAUCAAGUUUUACCAUCAGUUUAGUUGGACAAACAAAAUAAAAACAAGCACAACUAUGUCUCAAUCAAAAGAUGUAAGAAGUAAAUAUGAUUUUACAUGACAAAAUGUCAACUCUAUAACAUAUUUCCAAUAAUUCUGACAUUAUCUUUUGAAAAAUUUCCCAAAAUUCUGAGAAAAAUGACGAACUGGAGGUUUACUCUAAAGUUAGAUUGCUGUUUUAUUAUCUAGUUUUAUGUGCAUUUGAAACUGAAGACUUUAUACAUGACCAAGAUGUUUGAUGUUAACCCUGAAAUUCUUUCCUCCACAUCUCUAGGCUACCGGCACCCCCUCUACAUCUACCUGCUCAGACAGUUUAAACAUGGAGACUACACCCAAGGGGACCUGCUGAUGAAGAAUAUUUGACAGAAGAGAAAGGGAAGAUGUGUGGGGAAGAGGUGUGAGGAAGUGGUUAUUUGUGUAAAGGGAAGAAGAUGAGCAGAGCAGAAACGGGGCCAAAGAAAGACGACCCAAGAAGUCAAGAAGGACCAGGAGAAUGAAGUGUCAGGAAGCUGUGGGAGAAUAGAGAAGUAAAGAGGCUGGGGUCAAAAGCCACAGGAGACUUCUGCUGAGGUAAGGACUGAAACAUGUCAUUUGCACUUAGUUGAGGAAUGACCAGUAAUUCAGAAGAGUAUUGAAAAUGAUUUCUGAGGAGUAAUGGAUACUGAUAGUUCUACAUAUUUUUUUUCUUUUAAUCCAAGAGGUUUUUAGAGGUGACUUAUGGAUAGAAGUUGUGGUAAGGGUCCUGUCGUGAUGGUGUGUUUGCAGAAUACUAACAUAAGGUUGAAAAAUUGUCAGUGUUCUAUAAAGAGAGUUGGGAGACUUAGGGAUUAAGUCCAUUGUAUCUGCUAGGGCCUCCAAUAUGAUGGAGUCAGAGCCAGAGAGCAAUGGUUGAAGGAAGGGUAUGCCUUGAGGAAAUAGGCUUAGGUUGUUAGGUGGGAGAGGGAGGGAUAAGGGGCAGUUAAAAUAAGAAACAAAAACAAGAAAGUAAUUUUGUUUUGCCCCUCUGGGGCUGCAAAAAG